UACAAUGGGACCUACAAAGGGACGCAAUACCGCAAGGUGGAGCAAAUCCUGAUAAAAGGUUCCUCAGUUCGGAUUGUGGGCUGCAACUCGCCCACAUGAAGUCGGAAUCGCUAGUAAUCGUGAAUCAGCACGUCACGGUGAAUACGUUCCCGAGCCUUGUACUCACCGCCCGUCAAGUCAGGGGAGUCGGAAGUGCCCGAAGUUCGUCCUUGAGGCGACCUACGGUAAAUUCGAUAACAAGGACUAAGUCGUAACAAGGCACGGCUAGCGGAAGCUGGUCGUGGAUUAAUUCCAAU
rnacentral:rRNA from 1 species